UACGUAGGCAGCGAGCGUUGUUCGGAGUUACUGGGCGUAAAGGGUGUGUAGGCGGUUUUCUAAGUUUGGUGUGAAAUCUCCCCGGCUCAACCGGGAGGGUGCGCCGAAAACUGGGAGACUAGAGUGCGGGAUGGGAGAGUAGAAUUCCUGGUGUAGCGGUGAAAUGCGUAGAUAUCAGGAGGAAUACCGGUGGUGUAGACGGCUCUCUGGACCGCCACUGACGCUGAGACACGAAAGCGUGGGUAGCAAACAGG
rnacentral:rRNA from 1 species